AAGGAGGAAGGUGCCGGUGGGAGGGGAAUGUUCAGAGUGGAGGUCAGGAGGAAGAGGGAAGGACGUCACCUGAACGACUCUUGAUGCUUGGCAUCUUUCAGGCGUUGCCUGUUGGACGUCUGGCAGGAGUCGGCGAGAGGCAGGACUCGACAAGCUCUAUGGGCUCCUGGCUCCCUCCACAGGGACCCCAGCUCAGAGGAAGCCACCCUCCACCUCCAUCCCCGGAGGAACGUGACAAACACCAGCAGCAUCCGGAAAGACCACGAGGAGGAGGGAAGGGGGCUUUGGUCCCACCUCUCUCGAACUCCACCUCCUCUUGGCUCUGGAAGAUGUUCUCCUGGGUGCGCCACCAAAGCCUGGAAGGUACGAACCCUGGGAACUUCGCUUGUAGAGGGACACUGAAGGCGGCACCAGAAGCAAAGUGCUGCUAUCUGACGCCCGAGGGUUCCUGCGCAGUGGUCCCCGACACCCUUGUUUCCUUGCUGACUUACUCCAACAAGCACUCGUCUGUCGAGCGGGCCGGUACUGAGCGCCCACUGUAUACCAGGCAGCUGGCGAGUGCUGCGGGACCAGGCAGAGGAGCCCCUGCUCAGGCGGGGCCUCAAGUCCCCAGUCCAUUCGCUGGUUCCGUAGGAUACUGCGGGCAGCCGCCCCGGCCACCCAUCCUGUGACUCUGCCAGAGCGCGCUCCGCUUUCCCACGAGGGAGGCUCUGCACGCCUCCUCCAGGCAGCCCUAGCUCUCGGCCUGCUUGGCCAGCCCCUGACCUGGCUCAACUUCACCCAGGACCCCGUCCUCCCCUGGGCUUUGGCAGCAACAGUAGCCAGACCAGUUGCCCGGGGUGGGGGUGGCAUUCCUGGUGGCACCACACCCGCAGCUGCUUUCACUUGCCCCCCGGGAGGGCCCCACGGCUUCCCCAAGCCCCGCGGGAAUUACUCAUCCAUCCCAGGAGCGUCCUUUUAUUCCACUGACACAGGAGCCCCCACCGCCAGCCCGGCCCGCACUCAGGGUCGGCUGCGUCCGGGACUUCGGCUUUGUUUCUUUGCUGAUGUCCUCUGGUCCCCACACGACCUCUCAGAGUGCCUCUGUGGGUCACCCUCACUACUGGUUUCUGUAUCAUUAACACUUGGGACCAGGGACCCACAACACAUUUGUUGACCAAGUGAAUGAAGACAUUUGGGAUGAGGAUCCUUUGACGAAUAAACAUUUGGGAUGAGGGGCCUUUGACGAAUAA
rnacentral:lncRNA from 1 species